rnacentral:siRNA from 1 species
AGCCUACUAUCAGAAUCAUCCAU